ensembl:lncRNA
UGAGUUAAUAAACCAAUAAGAAAGAGAGUUCCAAACCUCUCUGCCAAUAACAGCUAUUAUAUAUAUUUUUUAAAUGUAUUUUUGUAUUUUACCCCCUUAUUUGACCCAAUUUCGUGAUAUAAAAUUGCGAUCCAAUUCCGUUUCUUGUCUCAUCGCUGCAACUUCCCAACUGGCUCGGGAGAGACGAAGGUCGAGUCAUGCGUCCUCUGAAACAUGACCCGCCAAACCGCACUUCUUAACACCCGCCCGCUUAAACUGGGAAGGCAGCCGCACCAAUGUGUCGGAGGAAACACCGUUCAGCUGAUGACCGAAGUCAGCCUACAGGCAAGCUGGGAAAUGCAUAUCCUCAUAAGCCUGAACAGCAUCUGCACAGAUCUAGGUGUGCCUUUGGCUGCAGAAGAACAGAAGGUGUUGACUAACAAGUAGAAUUGGGACAGCUGACCCAGAACAGAAGGAAUGACCAACAAGUAGAAUUGGGACAGAUAACCAGAACAGAAGGAGAUGACUAACAAGUAGAAUUGGGACAGAUUAACCAGGUCUCAACCUACAUGCACAUACACACACUAUGUUGAUGACAAUGUUUAUAAGAUUAAGUUAUUUCUCGAUGUAUCGCAGGAUGUAACUCUUGUGAUUGUAAUCAAGACUGUGUGUGUGUGUGUGUGUGUGUGUGUGUGUGUGUGUGU